GUCUGGUGCCAGCAGCCGCGGUAAUUCCAGCUCCAAUAGCGUAUAUUAAACUUGUUGCAGUUAAAAAGCUCGUAGUUGUAUUUUUGCGUUGACGGUUUGACCAUUUGGUUGGUUAUUUCGUUUUCGCUUUUGGGAAUUUCCCUUUUUACUUUGAGAAAAUUAGAGUGUUUCAAGCAGACUUUUGUCUUGAAUACUUCAGCAUGGAAUAAUAGAGUAGGACUUUGGUUCUAUUUUGUUGGUUAUUGAACCUUAGUAAUGGUUAAUAGGAACGGUUGGGGGCAUUCGUAUUUAACUGUCAGAGGUGAAAUUCUUAGAUUUGUUAAAGACGAACUACUGCGAAAGCAUUUGCCAAGGACGUUUCCAUUAAUCAAGAACGAAAGUUA
rnacentral:rRNA from 1 species